rnacentral:rRNA from 1 species
UGAGGAAUAUUGGACAAUGGGCGCAAGCCUGAUCCAGCCAUGCCGCGUGCAGGAUGACGGUCCUAUGGAUUGUAAACUGCUUUUGUACAGGAAGAAACAGUUCUACGUGUAGAACCUUGACGGUACUGUAAGAAUAAGGAUCGGCUAACUCCGUGCCAGCAGCCGCGGUAAUACGGAGGAUCCAAGCGUUAUCCGGAAUCAUUGGGUUUAAAGGGUCCGUAGGCGGUUAGAUAAGUCAGUGGUGAAAGCCCAUCGCUCAACGGUGGAACGGCCAUUGAUACUGUCUGACUUGAAUUAUUAGGAAGUAACUAGAAUAUGUAGUGUAGCGGUGAAAUGCUUAGAGAUUACAUGGAAUACCAAUUGCGAAGGCAGGUUACUACUAAUGGAUUGACGCUGAUGGACGAAAGCGUGGGUAGCGAACAGGAUUAGAUACCCCAGUAGUCCCUGAGCGGGCUGGCAAGGCGCAU